rnacentral:rRNA from 1 species
GACGAACGCUGGCGGCGUGCCUCAAACAUGCAAGUCGAGCGAGGUGAGACCGAACCGCAAGGUGAGGUUGAACCUAGCGGCGAACGGGUGAGUAACACGUGGGUAACCUGCCUGGAAGAUUGGGAUAACGGCUCGAAAGAGUCGCUAAUACCGGAUAAUGUCCUGGUGCUGCAUGGCACCGGGAAGAAAGGGAAACCCGCUUUCAGAUGGGCCCGCGCCCCAUCAGCUAGUUGGUAAGGUAACGGCUUACCAAGGCGACGACGGGUAGCCGGUCUGAGAGGACGAUCGGCCACACUGGGACUGAGAUACGGCCCAGACUCCUACGGAGGCAGCAGUUGGGAAUCUUAGGCAAUGGGCGAAAAGCCUGAUCCAGCGACGCCGCGUGGAGGACGAAGCCCUUCGGGGUGUAAACUCCUUUUCUCAGGGAAAAAGGAUAGAUGGUACCUGAGGAAUAAAGCCCCGGUAACUACGUGCCAGCAAGCCGCGGUAAAACUCGUACUCUA